GGGUUGUGAGGUUAAGCGACUAAGCGUACACGGUGGAUGCCCUGGCAGUCAGAGGCGAUGAAGGGCGUGCUAAUCUGCGAUAAGCGCCGGUAAGGUGAUAUGAACCGUUAUAACCGGCGAUACCCGAAUGGGGAAACCCAGUGUGAUUCGUCACACUAUCAUUAACUGAAUCCAUAGGUUAAUGAGGCGAACCGGGGGAACUGAAACAUCUAAGUACCCCGAGGAAAAGAAAUCAACCGAGAUUCCCCCAGUAGCGGCGAGCGAACGGGGAGGAGCCCAGAGCCUGAAUCAGCAUGUGUGUUAGUGGAAGCGUCUGGAAAGGCGCGCGAUACAGGGUGACAGCCCCGUACACAAAAGCGCAUGUGCUGUGAGCUCGAUGAGUAGGGCGGGACACGUGGUAUCCUGUCUGAAUAUGGGGGGACCAUCCUCCAAGGCUAAAUACUCCUGACUGACCGAUAGUGAACCAGUACCGUGAGGGAAAGGCGAAAAGAACCCCGGCGAGGGGAGUGAAAAAGAACCUGAAACCGUGUACGUACAAGCAGUGGGAGCACAGGUUUACCUGUGUGACUGCGUACCUUUUGUAUAAUGGGUCAGCGACUUAUAUUCUGUAGCAAGGUUAACCGAAUAGGGGAGCCGGAGGGAAACCGAGUCUUAAUUGGGCGUUAAGUUGCAGGGUAUAGACCCGAAACCCGGUGAUCUAGCCAUGGGCAGGUUGAAGGUUGGGUAACACUAACUGGAGGACCGAACCGACUAAUGUUGAAAAAUUAGCGGAUGACCUGUGGCUGGGGGUGAAAGGCCAAUCAAACCGGGAGAUAGCUGGUUCUCCCCGAAAGCUAUUUAGGUAGCGCCUCGUGAAUUCAUCUCCGGGGGUAGAGCACUGUUUCGGCUAGGGGGCCAUCCCGGCUUACCAACCCGAUGCAAACUGCGAAUACCGGAGAAUGUUAUCACGGGAGACACACGGCGGGUGCUAACGUCCGUCGUGAAGAGGGAAACAACCCAGACCGCCAGCUAAGGUCCCAAAGUCAUGGUUAAGUGGGAAACGAUGUGGGAAGGCCCAGACAGCCAGGAUGUUGGCUUAGAAGCAGCCAUCAUUUAAAGAAAGCGUAAUAGCUCACUGGUCGAGUCGGCCUGCGCGGAAGAUGUAACGGGGCUAAACCAUGCACCGAAGCUGCGGCAGCGAACGUAUCACUUAAAGCGAUUCAGCGGGUUACGAUUGACGGAGCGAAGCGACGUCAAAGCGUAUACAAAGUCGAGUCGGUUUAAGGAUACGUUCGUUGGGUAGGGGAGCGUUCUGUAAGCCUGUGAAGGUGGCCUGUGAGGGUUGCUGGAGGUAUCAGAAGUGCGAAUGCUGACAUAAGUAACGAUAAAGCGGGUGAAAAGCCCGCUCGCCGGAAGACCAAGGGUUCCUGUCCAACGUUAAUCGGGGCAGGGUGAGUCGACCCCUAAGGC
rnacentral:rRNA from 1 species